UUGUUAGUGGCAGACGGGUGAGUAAUGCGUAGGAAUCUACCUAGUAGUAUGGAAUAGCCAUUAGAAAUGAUGGGUAAUACUGUAUAAUCCCUGCGGGGGAAAGAUUUAUCGCUAUUAGAUGAGCCUACGUUAGAUUAGCUAGUUGGUAAGGUAAUGGCUUACCAAGGCUAUGAUCUAUAGCUGGUCUGAGAGGACGAUCAGCCACACUGGAACUGAGAUACGGUCCAGACUCCUACGGGAGGCAGCAGUGGGGAAUAUUGGACAAUGGGCGAAAGCCUGA
rnacentral:rRNA from 1 species